GAUGAACGCUAGCGGCAGGCCUAAUACAUGCAAGUCGAGGGGUAGAGAAGAGCUUGCUUUUCUUGAGACCGGCGCACGGGUGCGUAACGCGUAUGCAACCUACCUUUAUCAGGGGGAUAGCCUCUCGAAAGAGAGAUUAACACCGCAUAAAAACACAGUACGGCAUCGUACAAUGUUCAAAUAUUUAUAGGAUAAAGAUGGGCAUGCGUGACAUUAGCUAGUUGGUGAGGUAAGGGCUCACCAAGGCGACGAUGUCUAGGGGAUCUGAGAGGAUGACCCCCCACACUGGUACUGAGACACGGACCAGACGCCUACGGGAGGCAGCAGUAAGGAAUAUUGGUAAAUGGGGGCAACCCUGAACCAGCCAUGCCGCGUGCAGGAAGACGGCCCUACGGGUUGUAAACUGCUUGUAUACGGGAAUAAACCCCUUUACGUGUAAAGGGUUGAAUGUACUGUAAGAAUAAGGAUCGGCUAACUCCGUGCCAGCCGCCGCGGUAA
rnacentral:rRNA from 1 species